rnacentral:rRNA from 1 species
GCUGCACUGGCGGCGUGCUAUACAUGCAAGUCGAGCGGACCCUUCGGGGUCAGCGGCGGACGGGUGAGUAACACGUGGGCAAUCUGCCUGUCAGACUGGAAUAACGCCUGGAAACGGGUGCUAAUGCCAGAUAGGCAGCGAGAAGGCAUCUUCUUGCUGGGAAAGGCGCAAUUGCGUCACUGACAGAGGAGCCCGCGGCGCAUUAGCUAGUUGGUGGGGUAACGGCCUACCAAGGCGACGAUGCGUAGCCGACCUGAGAGGGUGACCGGCCACACUGGGACUGAGACACGGCCCAGACUCCUACGGGAGGCAGCAGUAGGGAAUCUUCCGCAAUGGGCGCAAGCCUGACGGAGCAACGCCGCGUGAGUGAGGAAGGCCUUCGGGUUGUAAAACUCAGUCACCUGGGAAGAGUGGUAUGGGGAGUGGAAAGCCCCAUACGAGACGGUACCAGGGGAGGAAGCCCCGGCUAACUACGUGCCAGCAGCCGCGGUAAUACGUAGGGGGCAAGCGUUGUCCGGAAUCACUGGGCGUAAAGCGUGCGUAGGCGGUCUUUCAAGUCCGGGGUGAAAACUCAAGGCUCAACCUUGAGGAUGCCUUGGA